rnacentral:rRNA from 1 species
GGCCUUGCGACCGUGGGGUUGGAAGACAUCAAACGGUGUGCUGCCGCAUACCAAUCGUGUGCUCACACUCUAUCCGAAGACGUCUGGAAAGCGUCGCCAGAGACCGUGACAGCCGGGUAGGAGACAGGGCCGUGACCCGAUCUGAUGCUCUUGAGUAGCGCCGGACACGAGCAAUCCGGCGUGAAGCUGGGGGCCCACCUCCCAAGGCUACAUACACGCAGUGACCGAUAGCGCACAGUACCGUGAGGGAACGGUGAAAAGUACCCCGGCGAGGGGAGUGAAAUAGAUCCUGAAACCGUCUGCUUCCGUGCAGUCGAAGGGGUAGGCGUAAGCCACCCUGACGGCGUGCCUUUUGGAGUAUGAUCCGACGAGUUACCCUCCGUGGCCGGUUAAGCCAGUUGUAGGCGGAGCCACAGCGAAAGCGAGUGUGAAUAGCGCGUUUGUCGCGGGGGGUAGACCCGAAACCGCUGAGCUAUCCAUGGUCAGGCUGAAGCGUCCGUAACAGGACGUGGAGGGCCGCACCGGUGU